rnacentral:misc_RNA from 1 species
UCGGAAGGUGCGGCUGGAUCACCUCCUUUCUAGGGAGACAUACACCGGGCCGAGAGCCUGGAUGUCACUUAGGUCGACACUUUGGCGAGUAAGUAGACAUAGCAUAUGCGCUAGCAGUACUUACAACCUAACAUUGUUCGGUUUUGAGAGAUCUGUAAAGACUCUCAAUUCUACAGAUAUGGGCCUAUAGCUCAGCUGGUUAGAGCGCACGCCUGAUAAGCGUGAGGUCGGUGGUUCGAGUCCACCUAGGCCCACCAGUUGGCUCAUAUAACUUGAAAUACACUUUGUGUAAAGUACAGACAUUAAGAGCUAAACAAAAUGGUAAAACUUUUAAAAGAUAACGGAUUCUGCGGAAUGGAUUAUCGAGACUAAAGCGUAACCGAACAUGGGGGCGUAGCUCAGUUGGGAGAGCACCUGCCUUGCAAGCAGGGGGUCAGGAGUUCGAAUCUCCUCGUCUCCACCAUUUAGUAUUUAAUACAUUAAAUACUAAACUGACUUAAGUUUAAGUCAACUACAAUUUAAUAGAUUUCGAUGGCUAUCUAGGCGCAUGAGAUGAACGACGUCGUCGCGUAAUGGUAAUUACGCAACAAGACAAGUGAGACGAAUGCAACGACGAUAGACGCGAACUAUAUGAAUUGUUUGUUCUUUGAAAACUGCAUAGAAGAAUUAAUAUAUAUUUGUAAGGUCAUCUCUUAGAAUUUCUAAGUAGGUUGACCCGAGCACAUAGGAAAUAAUUCUCUGACUUAAUGGUGACGUACAUGAAAAUGUACGGCUACAAAAAACGACAAUGUAUCUAAUGCAUGUCAAUAUUAUCUCUCAUGUAUUCAAUCAUGAGAUUUUUGUUAGCAUUUGAUGCAUAUCUAGGAGCCUGAGCGAGAUGAAGCCGCCGCGUACUGUCGUACGUAAGGCAAAAUCGAGCGUGGGGCGACGACGAUAGGCGCACAUGCUAACGCAAAAUAAGUAAAGAUAAUAAGGGCGUACGGUGGAUGCCUUGGCGAUAUCAGCCGAAGAAGGACGCGGUAAGCUGCGAAAAGCUACGGAGAGGUGCAAGCAACCUUUGACCCGUAG